CGGAGCUGGACUGAGCUUUUGCGCUCCCCCGCCCGCCCGGUCCUUUCCCCAGCAGCCAGGGUGUAACAAGGCAGCACUCAUCCUGUGGCCACGUGAACUGGCAGCUACUGGGUGCCGAUCCCCGUGGGGAAAAGCUACAAGAAAAACAAACAAACAAAAUAACUAAUAAAGAAGCUUGCCCUUGCUGGAAAGGCUGUGACAGGAGCUCAAGUCACUUUAGUUUGCAGACAGUGAUCCGCGCCCCCCCUUCCUGUAGUGGAUUCAAUAGGAGUUGUUUUUUGUUGUUUUGUUUUUGAGACCCGGUCUCACUGUGUAGACCAGGCUGGCCUUGAACUUACAGAGAACCGCUUGCCUCUGUCUACCAAGCGCUACUAUUAAAGUGAUCCUCCUGCCUGCAAGAGCCAGGCCUCUGACUGCCUGGUCGCGGCGAAUCCAGGAGGUGCACAGACUGCAAACCAGGGGGAGAGGAUCAGCGCCUGCAGAUUGAGCUCCAUCUGAUUUGCAUGUUUAUUCCCUAGAAUUGUAAUUAAAUUUGUGUAAUAAAUGUUUUCCAUUUCAUUUGUACACUCAAAAUUUGGGUGACUGACAUGCGGCUAAGUAAAUUUCCUUUUUUUUUAUUUUAUGAAGCAAAUGUGCCUUAUUCAAUAAAGUAGCUAAUAUUAACC
rnacentral:lncRNA from 1 species